UAGAAAGUAAUAUAAGGGAAGUAUGGAGAGUUUUGAUUUCUCUAGUGCGGGUUCGAUUCCUGCUUUUCUAA
rnacentral:tRNA from 1 species